rnacentral:rRNA from 1 species
GGGGAAUAUUGCGCAAUGGGGGAAACCCUGACGCAGCAAUACCGCGUGAGUGAAGAAGGUUUUCGGAUCGUAAAGCUCUGUUAUUGGGGAAGAAAAAAAGACGGUACCCAAGAAGAAAGUCCCGGCUAACUACGUGCCAGCAGCCGCGGUAAUACGUAGGGGACAAGCGUUGUCCGGAUUUACUGGGCGUAAAGGGCACGCAGGCGGUUUUUUAAGUCAGAUGUGAAAGGUACCGGCUCAACCGGUGACAUGCAUUUGAAACUACAUAACUUGAGUGCAGGAGAGGUAAGUGGAAUUCCUAGUGUAGCGGUGGAAUGCGUAGAUAUUAGGAGGAACACCGGUGGCGAAGGCGACUUACUGGACUGUAACUGACGCUGAGACACGAAAGCGUGGGGAGCGAACA